rnacentral:rRNA from 1 species
UACGGAGGGUGCGAGCGUUGUCCGGAAUCACUGGGCGUAAAGGGCUCGUAGGCGGCCAACUAAGUCAGACGUGAAAUCCCUCGGCUUAACCGGGGAACUGCGUCUGAUACUGGAUGGCUUGAGUUCGGGAGAGGGAUGCGGAAUUCCAGGUGUAGCGGUGAAAUGCGUAGAUAUCUGGAGGAACACCGGUGGCGAAGGCGGCAUCCUGGACCGACACUGACGCUGAGGAGCGAAAGCCAGGGGAGCAAACGGG